rnacentral:rRNA from 1 species
AACGAACGCUGGCGGCAUGCCUAACACAUGCAAGUCGAACGAGACCUUCGGGGCUAGUGGCGCACGGGUGCGUAACGCGUGGGAACCUGCCCUUAGGUUCGGAAUAACUCCCCGAAAGGGGUGCUAAUACCGGAUAAUGUCUUCGGACCAAAGAUUUAUCGCCUUUGGAUGGGCCCGCGUUGGAUUAGCUAGUUGGUAGGGUAAAAGCCUACCAAGGCGACGAUCCAUAGCUGGUCUGAGAGGAUGAUCAGCCACACUGGGACUGAGACACGGCCCAGACUCCUACGGGAGGCAGCAGUGGGGAAUAUUGGACAAUGGGCGAAAGCCUGAUCCAGCAAUGCCGCGUGAGUGAUGAAGGCCUUAGGGUUGUAAAGCUCUUUUACCCGGGAUGAUAAUGACGGUACCGGGAGAAUAAGCUCCGGCUAACUCCGUG